CAGGUCUAAAAUGCUGUGGCUGCUGAGAACAAUUUGCCUUAUCCAUGUACUUGGAAAAAUAUUUUGUUUAUUUGGACCAGACAAGAAUCCUGAAUCUCACAUGAAUGUUAGUGAGAUCAUUAAACACUGGGAAUAUCCAAGCGAAGAAUAUGAGGUUGUGACUGAUGAUGGUUACAUUCUUCCAAUUAACCGAAUUCCUCAUGGGAAGAACAAUGCUAAUAGUUCAGCCCCAAAGAUGGUAGUAUUUUGUAUUCAUGACUUGUUUUCAACUGCUGGUAUAUGGGUUUCCAAUCCUCCUGACAACAGCCUUGCCUUCAUCUUAGCAGAUGCUGGGUAUGAUGUGUGGUUGGGAAACAGCAGAGGAAGUACAUGGGCAAAGAAACAUGUUACACUCAACCAAGAUUCUAAAGAAUUCUGGGUGUUUAGUUAUGAUCAAAUGAUAAAAUUUGACCUUCCAGCCAUCAUUAAUUUCAUUCUGGAAAAAAACAGGACAAAAGCAGAUUUACUUACUGGCCAUUCUCAAGGAACCCUAAUCGCUCUGGGGGCAUUUGCAACAAAUCAAGAACUGGCUGAAAAGAUUAAACUCAGGAUUUUAAUAGCUCCCGUUCAUACUGUUAAAUAUGUCAAAGGUUCUGGGCGCCUUCCAGCUUAUUUCACUCCAACGGCUUUCAAGGUUACUUUUGGUGAAAAAGAAUUCUUACCUACCGUACUUUUCAAUAGGCUGCCUCAACAUGUGUGCGAUAUUAAGUUGGUCAAUGCUGGGUGUGCUACUGUACUGGGCUCACUGACUGGAUAUUCUCCAGAGCAGUGAAAUAUGAGCCGUGUUGAUGUGUACAUAACACACUGUGUAGCAGAAUCAUCAACUCAAAUUGUUAGACAUUAUGGGCAGACUACUCCUUCUGUAUACAAUGUGGAAGACAUGAAGGUUCCAACUGCCAUGUUUACUGUUUAAAAGAUUUUUUGUCUAACCCAGAAGAUGUUGCAAACUUGGUACCCAAAAUCUCCAACCUCACAUACCAUAAGAAUAUUUCUGAUUUUACUCAUCUUGAUUUUAUAGCAGGAUUAAAUGCUAGGGAAGAGGUUUCUGGGGAAAUUUUAACAAUUCUUAGGAAAUAUGAUGGUGACAUACAGAUUUAACUUUUUGCAUGUUUUUAAACAUUUCUGAAAGUCUCCUGCUAUGUGCAAAUAUUUUUUUGCUUGGCAUUUUCCUCCUUAAUUAUCUUUUUUAAAAGCUAUUGGUUCAUUUGUUGGAUCAUUUGCAUUAGUGAAAUCUAUAACCAUCAAGAGAAUACUUCAUCUUGUGACUG
ensembl:lincRNA